CAAGGCAGAUUUAUUAAAUUUUUUCGAUAAUUUAUUAAGGAUGAGAAUAUUUGAAGCAAUUCUGCUUGCUUGCUCUAUGCAUCCUGUAUGAAUUGCAAAAUGGGAACUGUGCAGGAAUAGAGAAAGAAAAGAUCGCUUUUCAUGCACGUGUAUCAAAAGCACAGGAAAACCUUGGUAACUACACUGUUGUUAUUUUUGGGUAUGUAACACAAAACUCUGGAAAUGCUUAUAACGCUACCACAGGCAAAUU